UGUCUGGGUUAUGUCUAAUUCUGUCCUGCCUGUAUUCUUCCUGCAGCUGAUGGGAAACCAGCGGGGUGUGUGUGGUGAUCUGGGCGUCCACCUGCAGGUUCCAGUGACAUAAAUGUUUGGAAGUUCUUGGCAAACGGGGAAAGGUUGUUACCAGAAAUAAUGGAUUUUAAUCUGGUUUCUUAUUCCAGCCAGGCUGAUUUAUCUGGGCCGCUCGAGGGACGACCAGCCAAUGCGGAAAGAUCGGCAGCAGGAAGCAGCUUAACUGAGCCGUGAAUCUUCUUACGGUUCUGCUAAACGGUGACACAAACGAGACACACGAAGCAGGCUGUGUCCAACACGCACACAAAGCUGAAGAUGCAACUGCCUUCACCAAGCAAGCUUGCCUGAUUGUCCACAACACCAAGUGCUGGAGCUGUGCUGCAUCCCUGAUGCACCAGUAAAUAAACAGUAAACAGAUUCUGCUCAUGAAGGAUGUAGAGUUAAAAGAGUUGCACUCACAACAGUGGCUGUGAAGAAUUAUAACAAGGAACAGCAGAUGCCGGGUUAAGGAAGACACAAAGUGCUGGAGUAACUCAAUGGGUCAGGAAGCCUCU